AUGCAAAGAAUACAGGCAUGGUUGUGGGGGUUCAGAUCUGCUAGUUGUAGAACUUCAGUUGUUAAAGAUGGUGCUGUUGUUGUUGUUGAAGCAGCAUUUGUUACUGUUGAAGGUGCAGUUGUACUUGGUGAAGACAUGAGAGUAGUUGUGGGGGUGACAUGUAUGGUUGUGGAGGCUUCAGUUUCUGCUGAUGGUGCUGUUGUUGUUGUACUUCGUGAUGAUAUGAGAGUGGUUGUGGGGGUCACCUCUGUAGUUGUGGAAGCUUCAGUUUCUGUUGAUGGUGCUGUUGUUGUUGUUGAAGCAGCAUUUGUUGCUGUUGAUGGUGCAGUUGUACUUCGUGAGGAUAUGAGAGUGGUUGUGGGGGUCACCUCUAUGGUUGUGGAAGCUUCAGUUUCUGUUGAUGGUGCUGUUGUUGUUGCCAUUGGUGAGGAUAUGAGGUACUUGGUGAGGAUAUAAGUGUGGUUGUGGGGGUCACCUCUAUGGUUGUGGAAGCUUCCGUUUCUGUUGAUGGUGCUGUUGUUAAUGAAGCAGCAUUUGUUGCUGUUGAAAGUGUAGUUGUACUUGGUGAGGAUAUAAGUGUGGUUGUGGGGGUCACCUCUAUGGUUGUGGAAGCGUUGGUUUCUGAUGAUGGUGCUAUUGUUGUACUUGGUGAGGAUAUAUGUGUGGUUGUGGGAAUGACAUCUAUGGUUGUGGAAGCUUCAGUUUCUGUUGAUGGUGCUGUUGUUGUUAAAGCAGCAUUUGUUGCUGUUGAUGGUGCAUUUGUACUUGGUGAGAAUAUGAGAGUGGUUGUGGGGAUCACAUCUGUGGUUGUGAAAGCUCCAGUUUCUGUUGUCAUUGAAAAUGACAUUGCUGUUUGACCUGUAGCUGUUGCUGAAGAUACAUUUUCUGUAGGAGCCUCAGUUGUAGAUGCAAUUGAUAUUGAAUCAGUAGUUGUUGGAGAUGUAGUUGUGAAAGUCGCAGCUAUGCAUGUAUUUUGUUUGAGGGUCAUAGCUGUGGUAAGAGAUGCUUUAGUUCUUAUUAUACAAACUUCACUGGCUGUUGAAAUUGGUGUUGUUGGUGUUAUGGAGGUUGUACCUCCACAAACAAUGCACCAUACAUAUACUGUCAAGAAAAAAAAAAAAAGAAAAAAAAUCAUUUAAUUGCUGUAUUAACUUUUGACCAUUUGAAAUUUAAAUUACACUAUUAUCAAAUUCCAUGAACAUUUUAAUAGCAUUUGAUUACGUCACAUUUUUAUUUAACAAUUUCUCAACACAAAAUAUCCAGAUUAAGAGUAUACGUACAUAUGGUGAGGAAUACGGUCCAUCUGGCCUCAUAUUUUGAAAUGAAACACCACCUAAAAUAGAAGAUAAACAAUUUAUAUUUUGUCUUUAAUAAAUUACAAAACAUUCAUGUAUUCAUGCUACUGAAUGCAACUUCUAAUUCACUGUGUUUAUUAAACAAAAUCUGUAAUUGUAUUUAAGGAGUAUAAUUAUAUGAAGAAGCACUGUAAGUCAAGACAAAGCUCUCAGCCAGGCCAGUUUACAUUAUAUGUUAGGGACCAGUUGGACUCUGCAUUCAAGAUAUAUACAUUUCUAUCAGCUUGCAUUCCCUGGGAAUAAAACCCAUGCACAGAGUCAUUCAAACAAACACUAAACACCAUCAAGGUAACACAAGUGAAACUGAAAGAAUGCAAUAAACAUUAAUUAAAAAAAUUAGAUGUAACAUACUACCCUAAUGUACAAAACUGAUGAGAAAAAAAAACUAAGAAACAUUAUUUAAAAAAAAAAAAAAACAAAAUAUAUGUUCUUUUUCUCACUUCCAAAAAUGGUAUACUACUGUAAAAUUACAUGUAUUGCCAAAUUCAGUUUUUCACCGUAUAUAGUAUCACAUAUCAUUAACCAUUUAACAGGUUUUUACUAUAGCAUUUUUAGCAAACUGUAGUCUUUUACCGUUAAAUUCACUGUCAUUUUUUACAGUGUUCUUUAAGGUUAGAUGAAAGCUGUUCCCGAUUAACCCAGAGGAAAAUGCUAAUCCAGAUGACUGUGAAUUGUUUUGUAACUGUCUUUUGGCAUGAAUUUGCAGUUUUUUCAGCUCUAAUCAAUGCUCAUGAAACAUCUGAUGUGUAUUCAUGGUUUUGCUGUGACUACCACAUGCUAAUUACUGUGAAGUCCACAACAUCAUAGGGCAGUGGUUCCCAAUCCUAGUCCUGGAGAGCCCCCAAAACUGCACCUUUUGAUGUCUCUCUUAUCUGACACACUAUUUUAGGUCUUGGUAUUGCUGUUUGACCUGUAGCUGUUGCUGAAGAUACAUUUUCUGUAGGAGCCUCAGUUGUAGAUGCAAUUGAUAUUGAAUCAGUAGUUGUUGGAGAUGUAGUUGUGAAAGUCGCAGCUAUGCAUGUAUUUUGUUUGAGGGUCAUAGCUGUGGUAAGAGAUGCUUUAGUUCUUAUUAUACAAACUUCACUGGCUGUUGAAAUUGGUGUUGUUGGUGUUAUGGAGGUUGUACCUCCACAAACAAUGCACCAUACAUAUACUGUCAAAGAAAAAAAAAAAAGAAAAAAUACUUGAUUACGUCACAUUUUUAUUUAACAAUUUCUCAACACAAAAUAUCCAGAUUAAGAGUAUACGUACAUAUGGUGAGGAAUACGGUCCAUCUGGCC
rnacentral:lncRNA from 1 species